rnacentral:misc_RNA from 1 species
GAUGAAGAACGUAGCGAAACGCGAUAUGUAAUGUGAAUUGCAGAAUUCAGUGAAUCAUCGAGUCUUUGAACGCACAUUGCGCCCCCUGGUAUUCCGGGGGGCAUGCCUGUCCGAGCGUCAUUGCUGCCCUCAAGCACGGCUUGUGUGUUGGGCCUCCGUCCUCCUCCCGGGGGACGGGCCCGAAAGGCAGCGGCGGCACCGCGUCCGGUCCUCGAGCGUAUGGGGCUUCGUCACCCGCUCUUGUAGGCCCGGCCGGCGCUUGCCGACACAUCAAUCUUUUUUCCAGGUUGACCUCGGAUCAGGUAGGGAUACCCGCUGAACUUAAGCAUAUCAAUAAGCGGAGGA